GAUGAAGAACGUAGCGAAAUGCGAAAAGUAAUGUGAAUUGCAGAAUUCAGUGAAUCAUCGAAUCUUUGAACGCACAUUGCGCCCGCCAGUAUUCUGGCGGGCAUGCCUGUCUGAGCGUCAUUUCAACCCUCACGCCCCUAGGGCGUGGUGUUGGGGAUCGGCCAAGGCCCGCAAGGGACGGCCGGCCCCUAAAUCUAGUGGCGGACCCAUCGUGGCCUCCCCUGCGAAGUAGUAAUAUAUGCCGCAUCGGAUAGCGAUGAGCCCCUGCCGUUAAACCCCCAACUCUUUCAAGGUUGACCUCAGAUCAGGUAGGAAUACCCGCUGAACUUAAGCAUAUCAAUAAGCGGAGGA
rnacentral:misc_RNA from 1 species